rnacentral:rRNA from 1 species
UACGUAGGCAGCAAGCGUUGUUCGGAUUUACUGGGCGUAAAGGGUGUGUAGGCGGUUGUUUAAGUUUGGUGUGAAAUCUCCCGGCUCAACUGGGAGGGUGCGCCGAAUACUGAAUGACUUCGAGUGCGGGAGAGGAAAGUGGAAUUCCUGGUGUAGCGGUGAAAUGCGUAGAUAUCAGGAGGAACACCGGUGGUGUAGACGGCUUUCUGGACCGUAACUGACGCUGAGACACGAAAGCGUGGGUAGCAAACAGG